GGGAAGUUCCUUCCUCUUCAAAUGUUGUUGUCAUUUAGAGAUUUUUAGCCUUUGGCCAUUCACUGUGAAUUCACCAUCACAAUUGUUCCAUAGCACAAUUGCUCCAUAUGUUCUAACUUUUUUUUAUCUUAAAUGGACCGGACAAUCUUGAUUUGAGCUUCCCGGGAAGCAGCUUUAACCAAGAAUUAUACAACAACACUUGAUAUCCAACAGUAUAUCAACUCCCAAGGUUUAUCCUUCGCUUUUCCUCAAGCAAAGCAUCAGAAAUAAUCUGUGAAAGAGGUUUGAAAACCGGAGAGACUCUUCUUUUCUUUAAAACUACUGCCAUUAUUACCUCUACAGUGUUACAAGCCACAUCAGAUCAGUUUCAACUUCAGAGGAACUCCCAUGUACGUAGUCUUAGCUUAGCAACCUGACCAUCCAGCCCACAUCUUACUUGAUACCGCCUAACAUACCCCUCUAUUGACCUCAUUUUUACAAUAAAUGUAUAGGCUUUAUCUUGGGAAUAUUGAUCACUAAACACAUGGACUCUUGCCCCAACAAGUAUUUGAACACACAUGUAGUAUUUUCUGAUCCUUUUCCUCUCUCUUCUAUUUUCUAUGAAUUUCAUUUUUUUUUCUAUUUUUUUUAUUUUUUUUUCUUUUUCAGCUCUGCAAAGUGUAGGUGAAUAAUGGGGUUAUAGAAAAUUUUCCUAUCCCUCGCUUCCAACAAUUUCAACCCCUCUACAUCUAACGGAAUCAUGUCAAUCUUUCCUUUACUUUUCUUACUUUAUAGAUGCCGAAGAGAGGAGAGAGGAGAACCAGAAACACACAGAAUUUUACCUUCCAUACUUGCAUGAGCAAAUCUGAUCCAAUGUAUACCAAGCCCCAAAACAAGUGAUUGAUGUAGAUUAAGAUUGGAAGUUAGAUUUGGCUCCUUCAGACAUUCUCAGCAAGCGUGUAUGUUACUGGCAGGUUGAUCAAUUUUGGUGUUUCCAAUUCAAUACACCCUACAAUCAGUAAAUCAGGGAAUGGUGCUUGAGAGUAGUUAGGGAGUUAGGAAAAUUGAAAAAGUUCAUCAUCCCUUUUUUUACUAUAAAAUUAGCCAGCUAACACUCAAAACAAAACAUAAUGUCAGUACCCACAUCCCCCCUCGACUUAAACAAAAUUGUCUCCAAUGUUAUACAGUCUCAGAUUGAGUUUGAGAUUGGUGAAGGAAAUAAAUAAAAGCUGAAAAUUUAUCAAGGAAAGUCGAGUCUUACCAAUUGUCUGAUAGUAGUGUCGAUCAACACAGUGAUGUGGUGAUGUAGUGUCGACUGACACCGGGCGAUUUGUCGUUCGGUGCUCUUUCAGAACUAGUCUUCCUCAAAACUUUUUGUUUUUCCAUUUUUUUAAUAUUUUUAGUAAAUAAAAAAGUUAAAAUGUCUAAUAAUAGGUUGCCUCUCACUCAAAGAUUUUUAUAGUCUUUAUUUUGAAGUUUUGAAUUUUUUGGGUUAGUUUCAAGGUAAAUGAGAACUUGUUGAAAAACAAGUCUCAACAUCUUCAUCACUCAUCUCGAACCAGAUGCCCACAAAGCUGUUAUGGUUUUUCCUCCUUUGGUUCUUUGUUCUUCUUGCUUCUUGAUAGUAGCACUAAUCUGAUCCACUCGCAGCUCUAGACUCUCAUAUCAGUUGCUACCCUAACUAAUCAUGUUGUUGAUUAUUUUACAUUAUUUGUCUUUUAGUGAAAAGGUAAUUUGGACACAUUAUUUUAAAAAAAUUCCCACAAAUACAAUGUGUCUUAUAAUGUACCUCAAAGACAAAAUAUGAUUUUUGGUGCAUUUUUUUUCACAAGACAAUAUGUUCAUUUUUUUCUAAGAACUAAUUAUAUAAUUUAUCGUCAAACAAAUUUUAAAUUAUCGAAGGUAAACUAAGAAUCUAUGGUUUUUUGACACGUUAUUUUCAAAAAAAAAAUUCAGAUGUUAAUUUCAUGUUUUUUUAAAAACUUUAAAUUUCAUUAAAGUCUGUAGAUUUAAGAUUUUGUUGACCUUAACUUUUGUUAAAUUAAAUACCGUUUUAAGUUUUGUUGAUUUUGAAUACCAUGACAAACCAGACUUUUCAAACAUGAAAUCUUAGAAGUUGUUGACUUAUAAGAUUUAAAUGACUCCAUUUGAUUCUAUCAGUUUUCUUUUUAGUUAAUAAAUUAUUCUUACAAGGGAAUAUACAUGUAUUAUGCUCAAAAAAAUCUUAAAUUAUAAUUUUGUAUGGUAUCAGAAGUUUUUAAGUUUUACUAAGAUUUUAUUGAUUUUGAAAAAUUCAUCUAUAUAAACAACGAUCAUUCUUAGAUUAUUAGCUAUACAAAAAAUAAACUCAAAAGUAAAACCUUUUACCAUAAGAUGAAGUCUUCAAAAUUGCAUUUUGUUGUUCUUCUCAUCAUCAUUUCUUUCAUUCUUAAUAUUCAAUCUGCUAGUAAGUAUUCUUAUGUUUAUAUACAACAAAAUGUUUUGUUUUCCUCAUAUAUGUAUAUAUAUCUGUGUGUAUAUACCAAAAAUCUGUUUAUAGUUAUCAUUAUUUUAUAAUAUAAUUACUAAGAUAUUAUGGCAAUCAUAUUAACCAGGAAUUUUCGAUGAUUCAUCAAGCGAUUGUGAAUUCAAAGGACCUUGUCAAAAGAAGACAGAUUGUUACGAGAGAUGUGGAGUAGGAAAACCACCCUUCAAAAUUGCUUUGUGUGAACCUUAUGGAAAUUCACGUGUAUGUUGUUGUAUCUAAUUAUUAAUAGCCUCAUUUGAUAGAAGUUAUGUCUUUUAGUUUUAUCUGAAAGAAAAUAUAUAUAGCAAUAUGAUAUGCUUACACAUAACUACAUUUUUACUUACACUUUGGAUGUAUUUCAACAUAUAUCAAAUUACAUAUCUUCAAUAUAUGGAGGGUUAUAGAUAAAUCAAAUUAUGGAUGAUUCAUCAAGCAAUUGAUAAUUAACUAUCAAAAAUAAUAGAUAAUCACAUUUUAAUAAUUUAUUUUAUUGGCUGGUGGGGUGAUUUAGAAAUUUUUUUUAUCAGAUUUAGUAUAAAAUAUUAAGCAUUUAUUAUAAAAUGCUUAAAUUUUGACUAGUCAAAUUUAUUUAUUUAUUUAAAUUUGUGUUCUAACAACAAUAACACAUCAGCUUACAACACAUUUUGCUAAUGAUUUAAUUUAAAUCUAUAAGAAUAGGAUUAAAUGUAAAUUGAAGGCUCGAUAAAUAGGCGUCUGAGUUUGGCAGACCGAUUUUUCCUUCUAUCAACAGUGAUCCUUGGGAUUAUAGGUUUUUGGACUUUGGCCAACUCUUUAUGUUUCUCCUUUCGUUGGUGAAAUUUUAAUGGUGCGAAUGGUGAAAAAGUAUAAUUGGAAUAUUGAUCUUAUCCUCACAAUGAAGUUGAUUUAUGUAUUAGAUCAAUUAUGAGUUCUACGGAAACACAUGGUAUAAAAAGUUGAUAUGAAUGCUACUUUUAGAGGCGGUUCCAUCUGCGUGGCGUGUGAUCGAAGAGGUAUCGUACUAUUGGAAAUUUUUGGUCCUUAAAAAAAAAAUUUGUACUUACUCGUGGAUGUUUCACUUACUUCUGAAGUUGCGUAGAAAAGCUAUUCAUUUUAACCUUUAAUGGAAGUUGGAAAUGGCUCUCAAUUUUUUUGGUGGAAUCCUUGGACGCUAUUGUUCUCUGUAAUAGAUUUCAUAGGUUUUUCGAGUGCUGCCUCUAUGGGGAUUUCAUUGCCCUCUCUUGUAAAUGAGAUCUCGUCUGGCGUAGGUGGAACUAGCAUGGAGUUAGAUGAUAUGCUCAAAUUAACUUUUAAGCUACUCUCUCAAAUAAGAGGUUCAUUGUAGUAUUUUAGGAUUGUAUCCAGAGAGACUCGAUAUUUCACACAAUAGACUUUAGCAUCAGACUAUUCUAGGUCAAAUUAUAUAAAUCAGUAAAAAUAACAGAACUGGGUGAAUAACGUAGUUGUUCGAUUGAUUGAUGAGUUGUUUGAUGGAAGUAUGGUUGCUAGACUUAGGGUUUCAAUCAGGUUAUCAUGACUCUAUCGUUAGAUGCUAAGGGUUGAUCGUAGAACUCAAAUUCAUUUAAGCCGGUAAAUCAGCUCUCGCAUGUGCUUACUAAUCAGAUGCUUGGAACCAUGUGAUUCCAGCUCUUGCAUGCGAACUUAUGAAUGAGCGUCGAUCGAUACUAUAGAGUGAGUUUUGAUUGACACUUGUUCCAAACAAGCGUUAAGAACCAAUUCGAUUUGUUCACCAAGUUAUUUAAACCAGCUUUCGCGUGCGCAUAGAAACCUAGCUCAGCAAGAUUCAAUUCAGGUAAUAGACUAGCUCUCGCGUGCGCCUAACUAUCCUAUGAUCAUGUAUCUAGUUAAUUAAUUUUGAAACAAGCAGUAAGAACAAUCAUAUUGAAGAAUCUAUUUAAACACCCUAGCGUAUCUAUAUUUCAGAAGAACAUCAAAACCAUAAAAAACCUAGAUCUUGCAUGUGGAUCUACUCAGACAUGAUAGUUGUCAUAGAAAAUCAUAAACUGAAUAGAUAUAAAAUAGAUAAAACCAAAUAAGAAACAAAAGGGGUACCAAGACGACUCUGAAUGAGUUCAUUUCUUCUCUCCUAACCUAGAACAAUGAAUAAAAGAAAGUGUAGCCGUCAAAAAUGGCUUAGAAAACACAUAAAUAAGAUUCUGAGUCGUCCAGGGGUAUUCUAGUAACUUGUGGUAACUUCUGGGCAUAAAUCGGCCAUGAAAUAGGCUCAGCCCGUCUUGUAGGAUCACCGUCAAGAGACAGCAAGGCUGUGUCGUCGAUCGACAUUCUUUCAUCUCCUCGGCAGCUUCAUCUCGCGAGGCAGACAGACCACUCUUCAGUAAAACGGUCAUAACUUAUGCUAUAGGAUGUUGAUUGACCUCAAACCAGUGGAAUUGGAAAGCUAACUCAAAGACCUAUCUUUUUUAAAGAUUAUGGGCUCAAUCUCACAGUGUUAGGUCUCCUCCCAUAGCAAAACAUCUGACGCGUCAGUGCAGUUUUGCACCUCAAAAGGCUCCAAAAUCACCAAAGUUUUCCAAAACGUACCUGAACCUGAAACACUCUAAAACAUACUCCAACCCCAUAUAAUAUAUUCUAAAACAUUGAUAUACCAUGGCUAAAAAUGGGUAAAAUCCAUGGUAUAUCAUUAGAUUACAUCGGCAUUAUCAACGGCUCGCAUUCCUCUCUGAGCAAUCUUUAACAGCAAUUAUGGAUUAUCUGGUCUUCUUAUUUUGGCAAAAUAAUUGAGUGCUUUCUAAUAAGCGACUGCUAAAUAUUUAAUCGCCGCUAAGUGCACCCUCUCGCAGCGGCCUGUGUAAAGACCGUGAGAACUGUCACUUGUGAAAUUCUUCUUCGUGACAUCUCAACCUCUUCGUUUUGUCUCUAGCACCCAGCAAAAAUAUAAAAUACACUAGAAAAAAAUAGCUCAGAUAAAAUGUGUACAAGAUUACCAUGGGAUUGCCUCCCAAGAUAACUUGCUUUAAGUUAUAUUGAAUUUCUUUUCGAUUUCAAGCAGGGGAAGUUCCUUCCUCUUCAAAUGUUGUUGUCAUUUAGAGAUUUUUAGCCUUUGGCCAUUCACUGUGAAUUCACCAUCACAAUUGUUCCAUAGCACAAUUGCUCCAUAUGUUCUAACUUUUUUUUAUCUUAAAUGGACCGGACAAUCUUGAUUUGAGCUUCCCGGGAAGCAGCUUUAACCAAGAAUUAUACAACAACACUUGAUAUCCAACAGUAUAUCAACUCCCAAGGUUUAUCCUUCGCUUUCCCUCAAGCAAAGCAUCAGAAAUAAUCUGUGAAAGAGGUUUGAAAACCGGAGAGACUCUUCUUUUCUUUAAAACUACUGCCAUUAUUACCUCUACAGUGUUGCAAGCCACAUCAGAUCAGUUUCAACUUCAGAGGAACUCCCAUGUACUUAGUCUUAGCUUAGCAACCUGACCAUCCAGCCCACAUCUUACUUGAUACCGCCUGACAUACCCCUCUAUUGACCUCAUUUUUACAAUAAAUGUAUAGGCUUUAUCUUGGGAAUAUUGAUCACUAAACACAUGGACUCUUACCCCAACAAGUAUUUGAACACACAUGUAGUAUUUUCUGAUCCUUUUCCUCUCUCUUCUAUUUUCUAUGAAUUUAAUUUUUUUUUCUAUUUUUUUAUUUUUUUUUUCUUUUUCAGCUCUCCAAAGUGUAGGUGAAUAAUGGGGUCAUAGAAAAUUUUCCUAUCCCUCGCUUCCAACAAUUUCAACCCCUCUACAUCUAACGGAAUCAUGUCAAUCUUUCCUUUACUUUUCUUACUUUAUAGAUGCCGAAGAGAGGAGAGAGGAGAACCAGAAACACACAGAAUUUUACCUUCCAUACUUGCAUGAGCAAAUCUGAUCCAAUGUAUACCAAGCCCCAAAACAAGUGAUUGAUGUAGAUUAAGAUUGGAAGUUAGAUUUGGCUCCUUCAGACAUUCUCAGCAAGCGUGUAUGUUACUGGCAGGUUGAUCAAUUUUGG
rnacentral:lncRNA from 1 species